AAUUGAUGAUGUACUGAAUGUGCAUGUACGGUUAGCAUUUUCAUACAAUGGCCAUACUUGCAGCUAAGGCUUCUAUUGGCAUACUUUUAAUCUGGUUUUCUGUAGUUUCAUUGACUAGCCUUUUCAGACUCAUCAAUUGAUAAUUGCAAUCCAAAUUGUUGCACAAAUCAUGGAACCUGUGAACUAACAGCAAAUGGCUACGAAUGCCAUUGCCUUCAACUGUAUUCUGGAACCAAUUGUGAACUAGAGAAUAACCCUUGUAAGAAUAACUCGUGCAACCAUGGAGACUGUCUCAUCACAAUUUUGCCUCCUUAUUAUGCAUGCAAGUGCAGACAUCCUUAUCAGCCACCAACAUGCACUAACUCAAGUGCUGUUUGUGAUCCAAAUCCAUGCCUUAAUGGAGGAACGUGUUUGCAGACAAACAGAAGCACUCUGUUCAAAUGCGCCUGUGCAGAAUCAUUCCGUGGAGAGAGGUGUGAAAUAGGAAUGGAUGACUGUUACACAGGGUGCGACAUACCAAGGUCUCGUGAGUCAAACCAGAACAGGACAGAGGUGCCUAUACUGGAAUUCUCACUUACUUCUGUCACCAAAUAUGAUUCUUCAGCUACAAAAUGAUGAUGCACUGGGUGUUGAAGAGCAUAACCACUGCCGGAAAACAAGCACUCACUUGUAUUGUAUGAUGAGAGUUAGUUGAAAAAGUACAUUGCUUCUUAGUGCUUAUACAUUGAAACUUUAUCUACAUUUGGUGCAGAAUUGAUAAGGAAAAUAGACAUAUGUCCAUUGAAGAUCAAUACAAUGCUAUUCACUUACAUCUUCCUACGUGGCCACUCUGUUUCAACCGCCAAAUACUUCACCUCAUCUAAAAUGUCAGUGCCCUACUCAACCUGACUUUGUUUAUUUCUCUAAUCCUAACUGCUCUGUUCAGAUAUACAUAUCACUCAGAUAAUCCAAAAAAAGUUCUGCAUUGUCACUUUAGGGGGCUAGAUACUCAAUCAAGAAACCAAACCUUGAGUAUAGCAAUCCAUAUUAUUACCUUUGAGUUCUGCUUCUUAAUUUGGAGCUUAGCUCCACAAUACAAUGGUACAGAAGCUCUUCCCUUGUUCUGCAAGGUCCAGGUACCAAUGUUGAUUGGAGCUGUCCCCCUCCUACCGUAAAUUCCUCCCCAGUUCUGUGCUGAUAUCCCAAACCCUGGCACCAGGCAAACAACAGUCUUCUAGGCUGAAGAAAUUUGCAACAGAACAGUGUCGAUCCCCUUCACAGUACCUACCCUGAUGUUCAUUACCACAACAUUCCUUUUCUGCUCACCCCACUUAUUUGACUUUCUAAGCAGCAGUGUUAAAGCUCAUUGACCCUGCUGCUCCCAUUUCAGACUGAACAAACCAAAAGGACCUCAAUCCUGUUGUAUCAGUUCAAAGGCUCCAGCAAUCCUGUCCCCUGAGUCUCCUUAAUUGUGUCAACAGCAGCCACAUUCCCCUACCCCUGAACCCUGACCAAAGAAGGCUCAAUCUUCACAAGUGUGACUGACCCUGGUACAAAAUAUCCAGGUACUGAUUCUUUCCAUGCACAGCUUGGUGUCCAGUUCAGAGCCUGAAUCAAACUGGGUUGAGCCACAAGCACUGCACACAUGCUCGCUCUAGAUCUCACUGACAAACAAGACACAUUACCUGCCCUGCAAUCCUUAAUGUGUUUUAAUUAAUUGCUUAAUUGUUUCAUUCAGCUCUUUAUUUUCCUUUCAGAAUGAUAUAUUAUUGAUCUUAACAUGAGAACCUAUAUUGUUUUAAAAUUUUGGCAUAAAAUAGACAUCAACCACUUUUCAGCGACUCUCCAAUCAUGUAGCUUCUUCCCCUGUAACAGAGUACGAUUAGUUCCAACAGGGUGAGGCAUUUGGAAAAGCAAAAAAAAAAGCACCUCCUUCCUGUUUUCCUAAAUCCCUCACUAACUCUACUUCCAUUGUAAUCAAAGUGGCACUCACAUCUUCCUGCUUUUGCAGAAGUUUAUUGAAUUGCAAGUUAUCAUUUUUCUUUUGAAUCAUUGCUAAUUUCCAUGGUAACCAUUUAUUCUCAGUUACAAUGCAGAGUAUUCGGGCAUGUAAACAAACAUUCAGUAUGGUAAAAAUGCAACGGCAUAACUUUGCAUUCAAUAUCAUUCACAC